CUAUGUUCUACCCCAGCUACUGCUGGCAAGAGAAAGAUGAGACGCUUUAUUUCUCAGUCUCAUAAAAGAGUGCAACAGUGUGUCGGCCGACUCUGGUACGCCUUUAUGUUUAUGGCACUGUCCAGCUUUCUGCGAAUAGCGACUUAUACUGUGGAGCAAUGGAAUUGGAGCAAUGGAAACCUCUAAAACACUUAAUUCGUUUAACAUCCGCUCCUCAAACCCUGCUUGGGCAUUACUCUUCUCCAAAUUUUGAUGGAGUAGAGUUAGCAGAACUCUGAACUUAAUGGGACAUCAAAUUUGACAACUAUCUACACCAUAAAGCAUCUUCAUAAGAACCAAAAAUCAGGUGAGCAAUCACAAUAUCUGAAUCACUGAUGCAACCUCUCCCCCAUCCUCUAGUGGUAACCCUGUCAUGCAGAGACAGAAUCAGUGCACCUAGAGGAGGGAGAAUGCAGCAAUUGUGGGACUGUUCGUUGAAUGCACUGUUGCCCUGUCACAGCAGAAAGCAAAACUGGACUGAAUUCAUCCAACACCCACUGACGGAGGAAACAUUUAGAUGAGCCCUAGCCAGAGGGGAAUCACUCAUCCCAGUGGUCAGAACUUUAGUUUCUGCAAGCCUUGCCACCACAGGAUGAAGUGAUUUGGGGUCCUAAAUAAACCUGAAGGGCAAUUUAGGUCACAAAGACUGCAAUUCCUAAGGCAAGUCCUAGUGCUAGGCUAGGCUCAGAGUCAGUGGACUUGGAAGGCACAUGACCCAGUGAGACACCAGCUGGGGCAGCUAAGGGAGUGCUUGCACCACCCCCUCCCACAACCCCCAGCAGCAUGGCUCAU
rnacentral:lncRNA from 1 species